GUCUAUGGCCAUACCACCCUGAACGCACCGAAUCUCGUCUGAUCUCGGAAGCUAAGCAUGGUCAGGCCUGGUUAGUACUUGGAUGGGAGACUGCUUGGGAAUACCUGGUACUGUAGGCU
rnacentral:rRNA from 1 species